rnacentral:rRNA from 1 species
UACGUAGGGUGCAAGCGUUAAUCGGAAUUACUGGGCGUAAAGCGUGCGCAGGCGGUUCUAUAAGACAGAUGUGAAAUCCCCGGGCUCAACCUGGGAAUUGCAUUCGAGACUGCGUAGCUAGGGUGCGGAAGAGGGAAGCGGAAUUUCCGGUGUAGCGGUGAAAUGCGUAGAUAUCGGAAGGAACACCAGUGGCGAAAGCGGCUUCCUGGUCCAGCACCGACGUUCAGGCACGAAAGCGUGGGGAGCAAACAGG